rnacentral:rRNA from 1 species
UACAGAGGAGCCAAGCGUUGUCCGGAUUGACUGGGCGUAAAGCGCACGCAGGCGGUUGCGCGCGUGGGGUGUGAAAUCUGGCCGCUUAACGGCCAGGCGCCAUCCCAUACGGCGCGACUGGGGGGCUGCAGAGGUCGAUGGAAUUGCCGGUGUAGUGGUGAAAUGCGUAGAGAUCGGCAGGAACACCCAGGGGGAAACCAGUCGACUGGGCAGCACCUGACGCUGAGGUGCGAGAGCGUGGGGAGCGAACCGG